GACGGAGGAUGCAAGUGUUAUCCGGAAUCACUGGGCGUAAAGCGUCUGUAGGUGGUUUAAUAAGUCAACUGUUAAAUCUUGAGGCUCAACCUCAAAAUCGCAGUCGAAACUAUUAGGCUAGAGUAUAGUAGGGGUAAAGGGAAUUUCCAGUGGAGCGGUGAAAUGCGUAGAGAUUGGAAAGAACACCGAUGGCGAAGGCGCUUUACUGGGCUAUUACUAACACUCAGAGACGAAAGCUAGGGUAGCAAAUGGG
rnacentral:rRNA from 1 species